CACAGUACUGACAAAUUGACAGGCUUGACCAACGCUUGUACGGUUUCCCUUUGAACGCUGUGAGAUAAAUAAAAGCGUCGGCUAAGCUAUGUUAUGCGAAUGUAUCUAAAAUCCAAAUUCAGCGUAACACGCAGCCUCGUUACA
rnacentral:snoRNA from 1 species